CACCUUCUGAUGUUUAAUUCUUUUUUUCAUAUAUUGAUGUCCAGAGUUUAAAAUGGGGGCACCAAAAAAUUUUCUCAAACCUGGAUGUGCACUGCUGAGCAAACUGGAGAUGGUCAAAAUACUUGGAGGGAUAGCAGAGAGGCCACCAAUAUACUGAGGAUGGAACCCAAAAAUGGUCAUUUUUAGCCAUAAUGACGUGGGUGACACCAUGGAAGGGGGAAAAAGAAAAGAUGAAGAGGUCAAGAGCAGAAAGUGCAAGAGUCUGAGAAGAGUUCCCCUGCUCUACAGACAAAAUACUUCAACAUAAAACACCUGCCUCUAAAUAUUUGUAGUAAAAUGUUGUAUAUUUUGAGCCACUUCCAGGCAGAACUUCACAUCAAGGAAGAAUUCUGUGUUUCCUCAAACUGCUGUGGUUUGAAUGGACCCAAGUGCUUCAUGUAGCUCGUGCCUGUCUUUUGAUGCUGUGCUUUUGAUGAAUCCAGGACAAAAAGAGGGUGUUCAGAUGCUUCUCCCACAAGGGCAUCAUCACCAUCACCAGCCAAGCUCUGGGAACCAUUUGCAGCUGGUGGGUUUUGUUGCCACAGGAAAGGCACCAUCAUCCAGCACCAAACCCAGAGCUCUGCACGGGUACCACCAAAACCCAGGUAUGUUUGUGACAAUUACAAUUUAUUUUGGGGUAAAGGCCACACCUGUGGCCUCACAGGGUCUGAAGAUGGAUCUAAAGGAGGUUUGUUCUUGCACACACACAGUUCCUCUUUUGCACUAAGCAAAUAAUCUUAAUUGAGAGAGGUGCAGACCUGCUGAUAUCCUCAAAGCUAUGGAGGUAUUUCACAGUUGUGUUAUUGAGAGGGACUUUGGUCUGCUUUUCCUUCAGAUAAAAGUGUUUUAUUGCAAACAAAAAUCUACCUGUGUCACUUCUGAGAAUGCCCUGGGCUGGUUCCAGCACUCUGUGUGUCUCCAGGAUUUUCACUGCGUGAGAAGUGUGUGGGGUUCAGAGGGAGAUUGGUGGAAACCACUUUGUUCUGCCCUAGUUCUGCUGAAGGGUACAAAGUUCUGCUCUUCCCCUCUUGGGUGCAGACAGGCUUUGAAGGCCAGACUGUUUUCUGUGUAAAAAAAAAUCAUUGAAGCACUUUGGAAUGUCCCUGCCUGAAGAUAAAUCUCUGUUGAGUAGUUUUGCCUUCUUUAUCAUGAUAUGAUUACUUAUAUUGCAGCAAUUGUGUUUUGUACCAAACCUGUGCCAUAA